rnacentral:rRNA from 1 species
AACGAACGCUGGCGGCAUGCCUAACACAUGCAAGUCGAACGAGACCUUCGGGUCUAGUGGCGCACGGGUGCGUAACGCGUGGGAACCUGCCCUUAGGUUCGGAAUAACUCCCCGAAAGGGGUGCUAAUACCGGAUAAUGUCUUCGGACCAAAGAUUUAUCGCCUUUGGAUGGGCCCGCGUUGGAUUAGCUAGUUGGUAGGGUAAAAGCCUACCAAGGCGACGAUCCAUAGCUGGUCUGAGAGGAUGAUCAGCCACACUGGGACUGAGACACGGCCCAGACUCCUACGGGAGGCAGCAGUGGGGAAUAUUGGACAGUGGGCGAAAGCCUGAUCCAGCAAUGCCGCGUGAGUGAUGAAGGCCUUAGGGUUGUAAAGCUCUUUUACCCGGGAUGAUAAUGACAGUACCGGGAGAAUAAGCACCGGCUAACUCCGUG